AGAAAUAUAGGGGUUGGGUGCCUCUAUUAACCUAACCUGUAAAGAAAAUAACUCCAUUAUUUUUUGGUGAAUCAUUUCUAUUUAUAAAUAACAUGGUUCAGUUAAUAGUGAUGCACAA